UACGAGGGGGGCGAGCGUUGUUCGGAAUUAUUGGGCGUAAAGGGUGCGUAGGCGGUUUGGUAAGUCUGAUGUGAAAUCUAUGGGCUCAACUCAUAGUCUGCAUCGGAAACUGCCGGGCUUGAGUAUGGGAGAGGUGAGUGGAAUUCCUGGUGUAGCGGUGAAAUGCGUAGAUAUCAGCAGGAGCACCUGUGGCGAAAGCGGCUCACUGGACCAUAACUGACGCUGAUGCACGAAAGCUAGGGGAGCAAACAGG
rnacentral:rRNA from 1 species